CCUACGGGAGGCAGCAGUGGGGAAUAUUGGACAAUGGGCACAAGCCUGACCCAGCAACGCCGCGUGAAUGAAGAAGGCCCUCGGGUUGUAAACUUCUUUUAUCAGGGACGAAGCAAGUGACGGUACCUGAUUAAUAAGCUACCGUUAACUACGUGCCAGCAGCCGCGGUAAUACGUGGGCGGCAAGCGUUAUCCGGAGGUACUGGGUGGAAUGGGCGUGUAGGCGGGAAAGCAAGUCAGAUGUGAAAACCAUGGGCUCAACCUGUGGACUGCAUUUGAUACUGUUUAUCUUGAGUACUGGAGAGGCAGGCGGAAUUCCUGGUGUAGCGGUGAAAUGCGUAGAUAUUAGGAGGAACACCAGUGGCGAAGGCGGUCUGCUGGACGGCGACUGACGCUGAGGCGCGAAAGCGUGGGGAGCAAACAGGAUUAGAUACCCUGGUAGUC
rnacentral:rRNA from 1 species